rnacentral:lncRNA from 1 species
GAGCAAGAGAUGAACGCACAAAGGCCAAGGCGAAAUGACCCAUUUUCCAACACCUACAAUCCAGGGUGGAGAAAUCACCCUAAUUUUAGGUGGAGACAGCAGGAACCAGGGAUGUACGCGCUGAAUCCGCCGCAGGCUGGACAGUAUGCCCAUACCGCACGACCUGCACCGAGUUCUGCACCCAAUAUGAACGAUAUCAUGAAGAGCCUCGCCCAGAGCAGUGAAAUUGUGAAG